ACCUGGCGACAGGAUGCCAAUCCCCAAAACCUCUCUCAGUUCGGAUCGAAGUCUGCAACCCGACUUCGUGAAGCUGGAUUCGCUAGUAAUCGCGCAUCAGCCAUGGCGCGGUGAAUACGUUCCCGGGCCUUGUACACACCGCCCGUCAAGCCAUGAAAGCCGGGGGUACCUGAAGUACGUAACCGCAAGGAUCGUCCUAGGGUAAAACUGGUAAUUGGGGCUAAGUCGUAACAAGGUAAC
rnacentral:rRNA from 1 species